rnacentral:rRNA from 1 species
GUGGGGAAUAUUGGACAAUGGGCGCAAGCCUGAUCCAGCCAUGCCGCGUGAGUGAUGAAGGCCUUAGGGUUGUAAAGCUCUUUCACCGGUGAAGAUAAUGACGGUAACCGGAGAAGAAGCCCCGGCUAACUUCGUGCCAGCAGCCGCGGUAAUACGAAGGGGGCUAGCGUUGUUCGGAAUUACUGGGCGUAAAGCGCACGUAGGCGGAUAUUUAAGUCAGGGGUGAAAUCCCAGAGCUCAACUCUGGAACUGCCUUUGAUACUGGGUAUCUCGAGUAUGGAAGAGGUAAGUGGAAUUCCGAGUGUAGAGGUGAAAUUCGUAGAUAUUCGGAGGAACACCAGUGGCGAAGGCGGCUUACUGGUCCAUUACUGACGCUGAGGUGCGAAAGCGUGGGGAGCAAACAGGAUUAGAUACCCCGGUAGUCC